CCUCUACCUUCCGACAUUUUCCAAGGACUCCUUGCCUCCCCUCGAAUACAAACUAUCUGGAGCUGAGCCAGGGAACAAUCAUCCAGAGGCCAUCUUGUGCCCUGGCUUCCUGGCUGUGCCAUGACCCACGGCUAGAUGGCGCUAUGCCCAAAGUCCCAAUUUGGUGCUCUGGGACUACUAUAAAGAUAGCCUUCUUCCCCUAAGAAGUUAUCAGUGCCAACCCCAUCUUGCCUCAUAUCCGUUUUCCUCAGUGACCACCAGAAGUCCAAAUCCCAGCCUCUGCAGUGAUUCACUAUCACCCCGACCCUCAUCUUCUUCCUGCUUUUUAUGUACCUGAUAUGGACAUCCCAUGUUUUGCCUGUCCAGUACCCUGCCCUCCUUCUCUGGAUGACAGCACUGCAGUUUUCCUUUUCAAGAACCAUUCCCCUACUUGCCAGCAUGUGGUUCUGGUGAGUUCUGUCCACCAUAAGUGGGCAGUGGACGCAGGCUUGUCCAAUCAGAGAUGCCUCCACACUGGCUACAGUGGAUGGUUAGGGUUGGGAUUUCACCAGUGUGAGAAGGGCAGAGGCAGUGGCAGAAGACCAUGUCUACCUGUUGGGCAGCCAUCCACUGCUCUGUGGGGAGAAGCUGCCUGAGAAUGGAGCCAAUGCAGAGGAGAGCACCCUGAGGACAUGUUGGGGUCCCUGAGGCCUCUGAGACUGAAGCCAGCAGUCCCCCUGGACUUCAGGGGGACACCUUUGAUAACGAUGACACUGCUGCUGAAUGACAAGCGCUUACUGAGUUCCUCGAAGGCACCAGUGAUAUUACAGAGUACCUCAGUGAACCCCCACAGUGAUGUCUGUUCAUUCUUGAGAGAGAUGCAACACACUCUUCAUUCUACAGAUCAGAAAGCUGAGACUUAAAGAGAUUAGUCCAUUUCCUCAAGAUUACACAGCUAAUACGUAUCUCACUCGAGCCGCACCACAACUGCAGCGGACAAGAAAGAUUGUUAUUCCCAUGUCGCAGAUGAGAAAACUGAGUUCCGGCAAAGAAGCACAGCUUGUCCAAGGCAACGGUACAGCUGGGCUUCAAACCCAAGUCUUCUGGAUUCCAGAGCCAAUUUCUUCGGUCUUACUUGGUUCCCUCUUGACUCCGCCUCCAUUAAAAUGGCAGACCCCUCUGGUUUGGUAAUGAUCUCACUGCUUAAUGAUCA